rnacentral:pre_miRNA from 1 species
AGGAGGAACAACCGCAGUGGCGGGGCCAGCUCUGGAGCCCUGGAGUCAGCUCCCGCAGUAACCACAGAGCUCUCCAUCUGCAGGGACUGGAGGCUCCGGGGCGGG